AUUGAACGCUGGCGGCAGGCCUAACACAUGCAAGUCGAACGAGUGGCGGACGGGUGAGUAAUGUCUGGGAAACUGCCUGAUGGAGGGGGAUAACUACUGGAAAAGGUAGCUAAUACCGCAUACCAUCAGAUCUGCCCAGGUGGGAUUAGCUAGUUGGGGGGGUAAAGGCUCACCAAGGCGACGAUCCCUAGCUGGUCUGAGAGGAUGACCAGCCACACUGGAACUGAGACACGGCCCAGACUCCUACGGGAGGCAGCAGUGGGGAAUAUUGGACAAUGGGCGCAAGCCUGAUUCAGCCAUGCCGCGUGUAUGAAGAAGGCCUUCGGGUUGUAAAGUACUUUCGUCGGGGAGGCGUUACCCGCAGAAGAAGCACCGGCUAACUCCGUGCCAGCAGCCGCGGUAAUUC
rnacentral:rRNA from 1 species